UCAAGUUUCUGUCAUUCAGAUGAGAGGAUAAAUCGAGGUCCCUUCUUCCUGUUCAGAAGGACGUUAAAGAUCUCGGGUCGGUCUUCAAAUCAGUGAAUUUGGCUUCCCGGGCAACAGUCUCUCUCUGGCCAACAGUCCGCCAGAAAAAUCGUUCACACACUCUGUGUGUGUGUGUGUGUGUGUGUGUGUGUGUGUGUGUGUUUGUGUGGAUACUGGGCGCGGAUGCCUCCUGUGAUUCAUUCACAAAAUGCACAAUAACUCAUCUUAACCGUCAAUGUUUUGAAACGCUUUCGGAGUUUUUGAAGUCGUGAUGUGGUGUUAAUUCAAGUGAAAAGAUUAAUAAUGUAAUGUAAUGUUGGGUAAUAAUCAUUGUCAUGGACAUUCAUAAUUAUUCAUUGCAAUGAUUGAUAUCUUUAGUAACAUUACCAAAUAGCGGUGAGUUGGUUGAAAUGUGCUGAUGUUAAAUCCCAUUUCGGUUUGUUCCAGAUGCAACUGUGAGAAUUGUUCCACGGCCGAUGCCUCCAGCGGAUGCUGGUAUCAUCUAUGCCAAUCUGGCCUUAGGAAACAGGAAUGAGCAGGACGGUGAAGCCAGUGAUGGAGAUGGUCCUGUCUACGCCACAGUCAGAGUUUAGUGUGGAGGCCAAUGACCACGACUUGAUUUAUUUCCUCGCUCUAUCAGCUCACCAUCCACUAUAUUCAAUUUCACCUUCAUUCUGACAUCAACGGGGCUCUUACAUCACAUCUCACGCUAACCCACAUAGAGACUGAGUUACAGACUGAGGAAUAAGGAGCGAGGGAGUGAAUGCGUAAGAGUGAGAGAGUUUGUGAGAGAGAAAGAUAAAGGGAGACCGAAUGAGAGACAGAGAGACUGAAUAUGUGAGAUGGAGUGAGAGAUUGAGGGAGGUACUGAGACUGGGAGAGCAAAGGAGAGGGACUGAGAGAGAGAUUGUGAUUGAAUGCGACUGAGCGAUUAAAUGAGAAUGAGUGAGAUACGGAACGAGAGAGAGUACGAUAGAGAGAGACAGAGAAAGAUUGAUUGCAAGAACGUCUGAUUGCGAGAGAAAUUGUGUUAGUGUGAGUGAAAGACUGAGUUAGAUAGACUGAGUCAGAUGGAAAUAAAGAGUGAGAUUCUGUGUGUGAGAGGUCGAGAGAUUGAUUGACGGAGAGUCAGGGUGUGUGAGAGAGAGAAUAAACAAGAUGUGUUGAGGGUGAAUGCUGGAAUGAGAAAUGUUACUGCGUAAUUGAGAGGGUAAUUUAGAGGGGAGAGCACGGAUAGAUUGAUACAGGGAGAGUGGGAGAGGGCAGAUAAACAGUGCGUACGGGAAAGAGGGGCGAGUGAGUCACAGAAAGAGGGAAACAGGGGUAGGGAGACAGAAAUUGAGACGGCGAGAGUGAGAUCGUGAUUGAGAGAUAGAAUGUGGUAGAGAGGGUGAGAGAGGGACAUAAUGAGGGAAAGAAUCAUGUAGGAAAAGAUCAGAGGGAGUAUGACAAGGGAGAGAGAGUAUGUUUGGGUGGAGGUGCGGCGAAGAGAGGGUGUGAGAAUGUGUAACGUUGAGAGAGAAAAAGA